rnacentral:lncRNA from 1 species
UUUGAGUUUUACUUACUCUCUUAACAGUACAAAUAUUUGGUAAUUGGCAUUUAUACUUCAGGCCCUAAUGAGGUUAUACUACUAUUCAAGUGGUGUAAAAAGAAUACUUUGUGUAGAUUUCUUUAGCUUAACAGUUCCUAUAAAAUAAUGAGAGAAAUUCUAUAAGCCACACAUAAAAAUCAGUAAAGAUUAUGAUGAUGACCCUUUUGAGAAAUAUUUUAAUGCUCAAAAUUAGCAAAUCAGUGCCUCACUUUGAUGGGUGUCUUUAAGAUUUAUCUGAAGCACACUGCUGUUUGAACCUGUUUUGACUGAUGAUGGUGCUCAAAAGUGAAAAGAAAGGGGAGGGGUAAGCAAGCCACCACCUAAGGAGGACUGCUUUAAAAAUGGAGGAUGCCGUUGGUCUCUUCAUUUCUUUGGCAGUAGUUUAUAGAAGCAUAGAAGUCACUGCACCCUAUUUCUGCUGGUAUGUUUCAGAGCCUAACUAAACCCAAGAAGAAAUAAGCAAUAGAAAAAGCAGUACUCAUAGAACAUUGGGAGUUAGUUCUGUUUCUUGCUGUGGUUGGUGUUAGUUCCUGAGCUUGCUGAAAAUUGUUAGGCAGUAGAAAAUCUGGAUAUUAAUUUUGAUUAAGCCUUUAGACCACGUGGAAAAUCGUAUAAGUGGUCCUUUUAUUCAGCAGGGACAUUAUCAUCAGACUUGCUUACCUAAGAGUUGUGGGGAAGAAUAACUGAAAUAAUGUUAGAGGAUUUUGAAAAAAAUAGUGAUAUUUUGCAA